UAAGGAUUGAAUUCAGGAUAAAGUACAGUUUGUUGCUGGAUCUUUAUAUUCUAGGUUUAUUUAUUUUAAUGACUUUUAAACCUGGAAAGCAGUUUACUUCCCAGAUUUUUAUUCCCAGAUUUAGUGUAUGUACAUAUGGAGGCCGUCUUGAGUGCAGCACAGUGUCCCAAACUUUAAGUGAAUCAUGUCCCUUGGUCUUUGUACUCGGGAGCCUUGUUGUUUGGAUGCUCUAGUGAUCACUAGGAAGUGAGAAAAUGGAGGCAUAGAGUAGUUAAUCCCCCCACCCCCAUCCCAGUUAUAGGCCAUCCUCUAGUUUGUCUUAGUCAUCUUCUCUGUUUACUUCAUAUAAGUAGUACCUUUGUUAGUCAUUUUUUCUGUUUGUUUUUCUUUUUCUGUUUUCUUUUUUUCUUCUUUGUUUUUUUUUUUUUUUGCCUUGUUUCAUUUAUCAUGAUUAGUUUUUUUGUUGUUUGGUUGAUUUUGAGAGUCUCCUUUGUUAUGUGUUAUAGCAUGCUGAGCAUUUUGGGUUUUUAAAUUACUUUUUAGCAUUUAGUUUUAAACGUACUUAAAUUUAAUUUUUUUAUAUUUGUGCCUCUGAGAGUUGAAUCCAGAGCCUUGUGCUUGUGAAUCAAGUGCUCUGCUGCAUUGUACCUCCAGCUCUCAGUCUUCAGUGACACCAGUACCAGAGCCUUUCUCUCCAGACAGCAGAUAGGAAAGCCAGCAGCUGGGAGGCUAGCUUUGUUCCUUUCAGGGCUCUUAUUUAUUAUCUGAUUCUUCCUCAGAUCCAAGACUAGACAGCAGAGUUGCCUUUUGGAGUGUUCCUGUAGUUCACUUGAGUGUUGCAUGCUCUUGUGACCUUUGUCUCCCCUUUCCCUGCCCAUCAUGCCACUCUUUCCUGUGCUCAGUCAGUUCUCAUUUUCACCAUCAACACAUCACCUCAUGCUCUCAAUCCUUUCACGAUGGAGUGCUUGCAGGUAACUGAUAUUUGAGAACAAGAACCAACAAAUUGCUGGUUUUAAAUCUAGUUGUGCCACAGCCAGGAAGUGUGUUGGCAGCCUCUUGGUUAGGUUGUUCUCCUGCAUAUUUAAAUACUUACUGUCAAAAUCAGGACAUUGGCAUUGACCUCGUCUCUCUACUCUGCAGACCUUAGUCAAAUUUUGAAAAUUAUCCCCAAAUCCCCUUUGCAGGUCCUGGAUUUGACCCACAAUUAUGGACUUCAUGGAUACUUUGUUAGUUUCCUCAGUGUGGAACAGUUUCUCGCCUGUCUGUACCUGGUAGCAUGGCAUUUUGAAGGUACUGGUUUAUUUGUAGAAUAUCCUUGAGUUUGAGCUUGUCUGGUGUUUCUUUGUAAUCUAUGCAUUUUUGGAAUUCUGUGUUUUCAGUGUGUAUUAACAGAAGCCAUGUGAUGUCAGUUUGAAUAAAUGUGGUGAUAGAAUAUU
rnacentral:lncRNA from 1 species